UACAGAGGGGGCAAGCGUUGUUCGGAAUUACUGGGCGUAAAGGGCGCGUAGGCGGCCUGCUAAGUCGAACGUGAAAUCCCCGGGCUCAACCCGGGAACUGCGUCCGAUACUGGUUGGCUUGAGUUUGGGAGAGGGAUGCGGAAUUCCAGGUGGUAGCAGUGAAAUGCGUAGAGAUGUGGAGGAACACCGAUGGCGAAGGCAGCCCCCUGGGUCAAGAUUGACGCUCAUGCACGAAAGCGUGGGGAGCAAACAGGAU
rnacentral:rRNA from 1 species